rfam:Oryza sativa Japonica Group DNA, chromosome 11, cultivar: Nipponbare, complete sequence.
AAAGACUCAAUUCCUGGGUCUUCAUGUCCAACGUUUGAUUGUCCGUCUUAUAUAAAUUUUUUUAUGAUUAUUAUUUUCAUUAUUGUUAGAUGAUAAAAUAUGAAUAAUAUUUUAUGUGUGACUUAUCUUUUUAUUUUUUUUCAUAUUUUUUUUAAAUAAAAUGGACGGUCAAACGUUAGACACGGAAACCUAGAAUUGAAUCUUUU